rnacentral:rRNA from 1 species
CAGGACGAACGCUGGCGGCGUGCCUAAUACAUGCAAGUCGAACGGCUUUUCUAUGGAAGCUUGCUUCCACUGAGAAGAUAGUGGCGAACGGGUGAGUAACACGUGGGUAACCUGCCCAUAAGAGGGGGAUAACAUCCGGAAACGGGUGCUAAUACCGCAUAGUUUUCUUGAUCGCAUGAUUGAGAAAGGAAAGACGGCCUUUGUGCUGUCGCUUAUGGAUGGACCCGCGGCGUAUUAGUUAGUUGGUGAGGUAACGGCUCACCAAGACGAUGAUACGUAGCCGACCUGAAAGGGUGAUCGGCCACAUUGGGACUGAGACACGGCCCAAACUCCUACGGGAGGCAGCAGUAGGGAAUCUUCCGCAAUGGACGAAAGUCUGACGGAGCAACGCCGCGUGAGUGAAAGAAGGUUUUCGGAUCGUAAAACUCUGUUGUCAGAGAAGAACAAGUUGGAGAGUAACUGCUCCAGCCUUGACGGUAUCUGACCAGAAAGCCACGGCUAACUACGUGCCAGCCGCGGC